rnacentral:tRNA from 2 species
GGAGAGAUGGCCGAGUCGGCUGAAGGCGCUCGCCUGCUAAGCGAGUGUGCGGGUAAUACUGCACCGAGGGUUCGAAUCCCUCUCUCUCCGCCA